CGGUCAGAAGGUUGGUCGUGCCACCGGUACGUACUGGUCUCACUGAUUCCUCCUUCCUGAAGAACCGUAAUGCCAUUAAUUUGGUGUUGCGGGGAAACAGGACUGUUACUUUGAAAAAAUUAGAGUGUUUAAAGCAAGCUAACGCUUGAAUACAUUAGCAUGGAAUAAUGAAAUAGGACGAUCGAUCCUAUUUUGUUGGUUUCUAGGAUUGACGUA
rnacentral:rRNA from 1 species